CUAGGGUCCAAGCGUUAUCCGGAAUCACUGGGCGUAAAGCGUGCGUAGGUGGCGCGUUAAGUGAGAUGUUAAAUCGUGGGGCUCAACCCUGUCGGUGCAUCUCAUACUGGCGUGCUAGAGGACAGCAGAGGCAAGUGGAAUUUGUAGUGUAGCAGUGAAAUGCGUAGAUAUUACAAGGAACACCAAUGGCGAAGGCAGCUUGCUGGGCUACUCCUGACACUGAGGUACGAAAGCGUGGGGAGCGAACAGGAUUAGAUACCCUGGUAGUCCACGCCGUAAACGAUGCAUACUAGACGUAUGGGGUAUCGACCCCCUGUGCGUCGAAGCUAACGCGAUAAGUAUGCCGCCUGGGAAGUACGGCCGCAAGGCUA
rnacentral:rRNA from 1 species